rnacentral:rRNA from 1 species
AUACAAAAUGACUCUCGGCAACGGAUAUCUCGGCUCUUGCAUCGAUGAAGAACGUAGCGAAAUGCGAUACUUGGUGUGAAUUGCAGAAUCCCGUGAACCAUCGAGUCUUUGAACGCAAGUUGCGUCCAAAGCCAUUAGGCUGAGGGCACGCCUGCCUGGGUGUCACAC